rnacentral:rRNA from 1 species
UGCAUAUCAAAAAGCGGAGGAAAAGAAACCAACCGGGAUUGCCUUAGUAACGGCGAGUGAAGCGGCAAAAGCUCAAAUUUGAAAUCUGGUACCUUCGGUGCCCGAGUUGUAAUUUGGAGAGGGCAACUUUGGGGCCGUUCCUUGUCUAUGUUCCUUGGAACAGGACGUCAUAGAGGGUGAGAAUCCCGUGUGGCGAGGAGUGCGGUUCUUUGUAAAGUGCCUUCGAAGAGUCGAGUUGUUUGGGAAUGCAGCUCUAAGUGGGUGGUAAAUUCCAUCUAAAGCUAAAUAUUGGCGAGAGACCGAUAGCGAACAAGUACAGUGAUGGAAAGAUGAAAAGAACUUUGAAAAGAGAGUGAAAAAGUACGUGAAAUUGUUGAAAGGGAAGGGCAUUUGAUCAGACAUGGUGUUUUGUGCCCUCUGCUCCUUGUGGGUAGGGGAAUCUCGCAUUUCACUGGGCCAGCAUCAGUUUUGGUGGCAGGAUAAAUCCAUAGGAAUGUAGCUUGCCUCGGUAAGUAUUAUAGCCUGUGGGAAUACUGCCAGCUGGGACUGAGGACUGCGACGUAAGUCAAGGAUGCUGGCAUAAUGGUUAUAUGCCGCCCGUCUUGACCC